rnacentral:rRNA from 1 species
GACGAACGCUGGCGGCGUGCCUAAUACAUGCAAGUUGAGCGAUGAAGAUUGGUGCUUGCACCAAUUUGAAGAGCAGCGAACGGGUGAGUAACGCGUGGGGAAUCUGCCUUUGAGCGGGGGACAACAUUUGGAAACGAAUGCUAAUACCGCAUAACAACUUUAAACAUAAGUUUUAAGUUUGAAAGAUGCAAUUGCAUCACUCAAAGAUGAUCCCGCGUUGUAUUAGCUAGUUGGUGAGGUAAAGGCUCACCAAGGCGACGAUACAUAGCCGACCUGAGAGGGUGAUCGGCCACAUUGGGACUGAGACACGGCCCAAACUCCUACGGGAGGCAGCAGUAGGGAAUCUUCGGCAAUGGACGAAAGUCUGACCGAGCAACGCCGCGUGAGUGAAGAAGGGUUUCGGAUCGUAAAACUCUGUUGGUAGAGAAGAACGUUGGUGAGAGUGGAAAGCUCAUCAAGUGACGGUAACUACCCAGAAAGGGACGGCUAACUACGUG